GUGGGGAAUCUUGCGCAAUGGGCGAAAGCCUGACGCAGCCAUGCCGCGUGAAUGAUGAAGGUCUUAGGAUUGUAAAAUUCUUUCACCGGGGACGAUAAUGACGGUACCCGGAGAAGAAGCCCCGGCUAACUUCGUGCCAGCAGCCGCGGUAAUACGAAGGGGGCUAGCGUUGCUCGGAAUUACUGGGCGUAAAGGGCGCGUAGGCGGACAGUUUAGUCAGAGGUGAAAGCCCAGGGCUCAACUCUGGAACUGCCCUUGAUACUGGCGAUCUUGAGUGUGAGAGAGGUAUGUGGAACUCCGAGUGUAGAGGUGAAAUUCGUAGAUAUUCGGAAGAACACCAGUGGCGAAGGCGACAUACUGGCUCAUUACUGACGCUGAGGCGCGAAAGCGUGGGGAGCAAACAGGAUUAGAUACCCUGGUAGUCC
rnacentral:rRNA from 1 species